rnacentral:rRNA from 1 species
UAAUACCGGAUAGUUCCUUGAACCGCAUGGUUCAAGGAUGAAAGACGGUUUCGGCUGUCACUUACAGAUGGACCCGCGGCGCAUUAGCUAGUUGGUGAGGUAACGGCUCACCAAGGCGACGAUGCGUAGCCGACCUGAGAGGGUGAUCGGCCACACUGGGACUGAGACACGGCCCAGACUCCUACGGGAGGCAGCAGUAGGGAAUCUUCCGCAAUGGACGAAAGUCUGACGGAGCAACGCCGCGUGAGUGAUGAAGGUUUUCGGAUCGUAAAGCUCUGUUGUUAGGGAAGAACAAGUGCAAGAGUAACUGCUUGCACCUUGACGGUACCUAACCAGAAAGCCACGGCUAACUACGUGCCAGCAGCCGCGGUAAUACGUAGGUGGCAAGCGUUGUCCGGAAUUAUUGGGCGUAAAGGGCUCGCAGGCGGUUUCUUAAGUCUGAUGUGAAAGCCCCCGGCUCAACCGGGGAGGGUCAUUGGAAACUGGGAAACUUGAGUGCAGAAGAGGAGAGUGGAAUUCCACGUGUAGCGGUGAAAUGCGUAAAGAUGUGG